AAUUCUUCAUCACAGACGUAACUCGAUUUCAUAAAACAGUUAAGAGUAAUCACACCCACUUCAUUAAAAUUCUGAUUCACGAGUAUAAUACUGACUUCAGCAGCGAUUGCCUCAGACUUCCCAAAACCCUAUGAAGAAAAAAAAUUCCAAUUCUCUGUCUUUUUUCUCCACCCCGAAGCAUGAAGCUCGCUCUCCGAGCCUUCUAAAAAAACUUCGUCUCUCUCCCCUUCCAUUUCUUAACCUA
rnacentral:lncRNA from 1 species